AUUGAACGCUGGCGGCAUGCCUUACACAUGCAAGUCGAACGGCAGCACGGGUGCUUGCACCUGGUGGCGAGUGGCGAACGGGUGAGUAAUACAUCGGAACAUGUCCUGUAGUGGGGGAUAGCCCGGCGAAAGCCGGAUUAAUACCGCAUACGAUCUACGGAUGAAAGCGGGGGACCUUCGGGCCUCGCGCUAUAGGGUUGGCCGAUGGCUGAUUAGCUAGUUGGUGGGGUAAAGGCCUACCAAGGCGACGAUCAGUAGCUGGUCUGAGAGGACGACCAGCCACACUGGGAGUGAGACACGGCCCAGACUCCUACGGGAGGCAGCAGUGGGGAAUUUUGGACAAUGGGCGAAAGCCUGAUCCAGCAAUGCCGCGUGUGUGAAGAAGGCCUUCGGGUUGUAAAGCACUUUUGUCCGGAAAGAAGUCCUUGGCCCUAAUACGGUCGGGGGAUGACGGUACCGGAAGAAUAAGCACCGGCUAACUACGUG
rnacentral:rRNA from 1 species